rnacentral:snRNA from 1 species
UAAAUCUUGAAGAACAUUAU